GGCUGUAGCUCAAUGGUAUAGCAUCUGCUUUGCAUGCAGAAGGUCCCAGGUUCAAUUUUCAGCAUCUCCAGGUAGAGCUG